UGGGGUGUGGUGUAAUUGGCAACACGACAGUUUCUGGUUCUGUUAUUCAAGGUUCGAUUCCUUGCACCCCAACCA
rnacentral:tRNA from 1 species